GUCUCAAAGAUUAAGCCAUGCAUGUGUAAGUACAAGCAUUUGUAUUGUGAAACUGCGAAUGGCUCAUNUAUAUNCAGUNUAUAGUUUACUUGAUACAACUCUAUAUGNGANUAACCGUAGUAAUUCUAGAGCUAAUACAUGCCCACGCACUUAUUAGGUUCAGGCCAGCAAACAAAAGGUGACUCAUAAUAAACAUGCAUAUCGCGCAAGCGAUGAAUCAUUCAAGUUNCUGCCCUAUCAGCUGUAGAUGGUAGAG
rnacentral:rRNA from 1 species